UGUCAACCCUGUGCUAGAGGGAGGCCAGAGGCGGGCCAAAACUUGGCACUCUCUGGUGGUCUGCUCAAAUCACAGUUGUUACACCAAUGGUGGUCCAAAGCCACCCUCUCAGGCUGUCUGCUAGGAUCUCGGCCUUAGUCUCUCAAAGCCAGAACUUCCCUGGGCCCUUGGGAGGGGCCUCACAAAAUCCCAGGUAGGGGGAUGGUAUUGUGCAAUUAGACAAAGCUCACAACCAGGUGGAGGCAGGAUCUGGGAACUGUGAGGCAGUCCCCUAGGUUCUCAGGGCCUCUGGUAGUUGGAGGCCAGAGGAAGGCCAGAACUCAGCACUCUCUGGUGGUCUGCUGACCUCUAGGCUGUACUCUGUUGGAGAUCCGAACCCACCCUCUCCAACAUUAAUUUUUGUCAAGGAAGAACUAUGUGUAUUUAGGAGGUGCAGUGUGAUAUUUUGUUCUCUACAUACAUUUUUGAAAUUGACUAUUAAAUUAACAUAAUUACCACUUCAUGAAUUUUCCUAUUAAAAUAUAUAUACUCAAAAUAAUGUCACAAUGUAUUUUCGAGACUGAAAACUGGCUGAUGAACGCAACUUUUAUAAAGUGACUCCUUCAAUAUUGGCAGUGAAAUUUCAAGAAUUUGAGAGGCUUGAUUUCAAUCAAAGUCCUCCCAAGUAAUCAGAAGAGACACAAUUUAAUGUCUCAGGUGCUUCUUCCUCUUGUUAUGUUGGCAGGUGAAGUGAGUUUUCAGUAAACUGAGAAGAAGUUUCUUGAAAGAGGGAGAAGAGUGUUUAUGUAUUGCCUGGGAAGAAACUCCCAGAAGGAGGAGAGAGAUGGCUUCUUUUCAGGAUCCAUUGACAUUCAAAGAUGUGUCCAUAGACUUCUCCCAGGAGGAGUGGGAAUGCCUA